rnacentral:rRNA from 1 species
UAUGGCCACACCAUUCUGAAUGCACCUGAUUUAGAAGCUAAGCAGAGUGGGGCCCAGUUAAUACUUGGAUGGGAAAAACAUAGAGUUUUUGGUGGGGUUAUGU